AUAUAUUUUGUAAAAAAUCUGUUCUUAUCAGUUUAAUAUCCGAUAACGUCCCCAUCGGGGGACUACAUAAAUGGAUUUUUCGAACAGGGGAGUCGGAAAUGGGGCUUCUCCGUCCGCUCCAGAUCGACCCGGUAUUGCAGUACCUCCGGGAACGGUGCAACACUU
rnacentral:snRNA from 1 species